rnacentral:SRP_RNA from 2 species
GCCGGGUGUGGUGGCACACGCCUGUAGUCCCAGCUACUCGGGAGGCUGAGGCAGAAGAAUCGCUUGAACCUGGGAGGUGGAGGUUGCAGUGGGCCAAGAUCGCACCACUGCACUCCAGCCUGGGUGACAGAGCGAGACUCUGUCUCAA